AGUGAACGCUGGCGGUAGGCCUAACACAUGCAAGUCGAACGGCAGCACAGUAAGAGCUUGCUCUUACGGGUGGCGAGUGGCGGACGGGUGAGGAAUACAUCGGAAUCUACUUUUUCGUGGGGGAUAACGUAGGGAAACUUACGCUAAUACCGCAUACGACCUACGGGUGAAAGCAGGGGAUCUUCGGACCUUGCGCGAUUGAAUGAGCCGAUGUCGGAUUAGCUAGUUGGCGGGGUAAAGGCCCACCAAGGCGACGAUCCGUAGCUGGUCUGAGAGGAUGAUCAGCCACACGGGAGCUGAGACACGGUCCAGACUCCUACGGGAGGCAGCAGUGGGGAAUAUUGGACAAUGGGCGCAAGCCUGAUCCAGCCAUACCGCGUGGGUGAAGAAGGCCUUCGGGUUGGAAAGCCCUUUUGUUGGGAAAGAAAAGCAGCAGGUUAAUACCCCGCUGUUCUGACGGUACCCAAAGAAUAAGCACCGGCUAACUUCGUG
rnacentral:rRNA from 1 species